UACGUGCGCGCGAGUGGAAUCGGGUUGGAUUUACCAGGAGGAAGACUCAUGAACGAGCAGUAAGCUGUCAGUCUCCGGUUUACAGACCCAAAUAAAGAGGGGAAGGUCCACUUAACAAUAUUGUAUGCAUUUUGAUAACUCAUAAUUUUAUUUUGUUGCAACUGGCUCAAGUGUAACGGAGAAUGGCUGCAGAGGUGAAUGGGAAUUCAACUCUGUUGAAGGAGGAAGAGGAGCCCAUGGAUGUCAGUGCCACUCACACACAGAACUACCAGACCCUGCUAGAUGCUGGGCUUCCUCAAAAAGUGGCAGAAAGCCUGGAUGACAUAUUUCAGACUGGGCUGGUGGCCUAUGCUGACCUCGAUGAGAGGGCCAUUGAUGCCCUAAGGGAGUUCAAUGAGGAGGGGGCCCUGGCAGUCAUUCUGCAGUUUAAGGAGAGUGACCUGUCACAUGUCCAGAACAAGAGUGCAUUUCUCUGUGGUGUGAUGAAAACAUACAGACAAAGAGAAAAACAAGGAAGCAAAGUUCAAGAAUCCACAAAGGGCCCAGAUGAGUCCAAGAUCAAGGCUCUUCUGGAGCGAACAGGAUACACUCUGGAUGUGACCACAGGACAGAGGAAGUACGGGGGACCUCCCCCAGACGAGGUGUACACUGGAACACAGCCCGGGGUUGGGACAGAGGUGUUUGUGGGUAAGAUCCCCAGAGACCUGUAUGAGGAUGAGCUGGUGCCACUGUUUGAGAAGGCGGGCCCUAUCUGGGACCUGCGUCUGAUGAUGGACCCUCUCUCGGGUCAGAAUCGGGGCUACGCCUUCAUCACCUUCUGCAACAAGGACGCUGCACAAGAGGCUGUCAAACUCUGUGAUAAUUAUGAAAUCCGGUCAGGUAAAUACCUGGGUGUCUGCAUCUCUGUCGCAAACAAUCGACUCUUUGUUGGCUCAAUUCCAAAGAACAAGACAAGAGAGAGCAUAUUGGAAGAUUUCAGCAAAGUUACAGAGGGCCUAAUGGAGGUGAUCCUCUACCACCAGCCUGACGACAAGAAGAAGAACAGGGGCUUCUGCUUCCUGGAGUAUGAAGACCACAAGACCGCCGCCCAGGCCCGCCGCCGCCUGAUGAGCGGCAAGGUCAAGGUGUGGGGGAACCCGGUGACAGUGGAAUGGGCGGACCCAGUGGAGGAACCAGACCCAGGGAUCAUGGCCAGGGUGAAGGUGCUGUUUGUGAGGAACCUGGCCACCCCUGUCACAGAGGAGCUCCUAGAGAAGACCUUCUCCCACUUUGGGAAGCUGGAGAGAGUCAAGAAGCUGAAGGACUAUGCCUUUGUCCACUUUGAGGAUAGAGACGCUGCUGUUAAGGCCAUGCAGGAGAUGAAUGGAAAGGAGCUGGAGGGUGAGGAGAUUGAGAUUGUCCUGGCGAAGCCUCCAGACAAGAAGAAGAAGGAGCGUCAAGCCCAGAGACAGCCCCCGAGGACAGCAGGGUAUGACGACUACUACUACUACUCUCCCCCGCGCAUGCCUCCUCCCAUGAGGGGGCGUGGCCGAGGCGGGAGGGGGGGUGGGGGCUACGCCUACCCUCAGGAUUACUAUGGGUACGAGGACUACUACGACGAUUACUACAGUUACGAUUAUCAUGACUACAGAGGAAGCUAUGACGAUCCUUACUAUGGCUAUGAUGACGUUUACUCUAUAAGAGGGAGGGGGAGCAGGGUGAACCGGGGUGCUCCCCCACCACCCAGGGGCAGAGGAGCGCCACCCCCUCGGGGCAGAGGCAGCUACGUCCAAAGGGGGUCUCCUAUGGGGGUUCCCAGGGGAGGGCGUGGAGGGGGCCGCGGGACUCCUGGAGGCCCAGCUCAAUUGCCCCGGGGUAGGGGCAUCCGAGGGGCCCGGGGUAACCGAGGGGGCAACGUAGGGGGGAAGAGGAAAGCAGACGGCUACACCCAGCCUGACUCCAAACGCCGCCAGACCGCCAACCAGCAGAACUGGGGCUCCCAACCCAUCGCCCAGCAACCACUGCAGCAGGGUGGCGACUACUCUGGUGAAGACGGAGGCACGGGUCAGGGCAUGGCGGCGCAUGAGUGAGUCACGUGAGGAACACAUCGUUUCUCUGCUGUGUUCUUCAUCAUCCCCGCCUCCCCCUCCUCCUCCCAUACCAAGGGAAGUGCGUGUGUGAUGGAGGGCCUCCGACCCAGCCUUCUCACCACUCAGUGGGGCUUCAGAGGCUGUGCUGAGGAUGUCUGGGGUAAGGAAGGUGAAAGACGCAAUGGAUGGAUUUCUUUUAGAUCCAAAAGCCUCUCUUCUGUCGCUGUCCUCUUCUCCUCUCCCCUAAUCCAGGUGUCAGUCUCGAUACUCGUGGGAAUUAGUUGCUGAAAGCAGGCGGCAGACUGGGCUUAGGUAAGGAAGACCCCAUCAGACACAAUAUAGGUUUUACGCAACUGGUAGGAAAGAAACUCCUACCUUAGAGAAAGAAAACAAACUUUUAAGACAAACUCUUAAGACUUGCCUACAAGUUACAUCUGUGGUCCCUGUACCAUAAAACACCUAUGUCCAAAUUGUAUGUACAGUACCAGUCAAAACUUUUGACUGGUACUGUAUUACAAUUUCAAGCCAUCACGCCAAAGUGCUUUGAUAAUUGAGCAUUCACAAUGCAGUAUUUUAGAGAGUUUUAAUUGGUGCAGUAUAGCGCAUCAUGAAAUGACAAUGCUGGACCACUGACACAUAACCAUAUGUCAAAAGCUAUGGUGUUCUGAAGUGUAGUGACACCAAUAUUAAUGGCUUUGAUUCCACCCUGGUGCAUUUUGUCUCUCUUUCCUAUUAUAAAUCGUCUAAUUUAUUUUUGUUCAGGAUCAUGCAACUUUUCUCAAUGUAAUCAUUCUGCUGCCCCAGAAUUAAUUUGCUUGCAUAAUAAUCAGCCUUAGCUGCUUCUAGUUAUACAUAAGUACAAGGAAAAAUUUAACAAAAUUCUGUCAUGCCACAUUCAUAGUUCCAUUAAUAUUGUAAACCCUAGAGGCAUUUUAGUUUUUAAGAUGUUUCCUGAAAAUUGUUUUUUCAUUUUGAAAAGUCAUGCAUGGAAUAUGAGCAAGAAUUGACGAUCCCUAGGUCCCUGUCUUGAUCAGCUGUAAUCUGGACCUCAGAAUUAAUUUGAGUUAUGACACAAUCGGUUCGCUUGAGUUGAGCUGAAAUUAAUAAAAGCUCUGUAAAUGUAGAUGAUGAAUCUAGGUCAGACACAGGCAGAAAUGGAGCAGCAUCAGUUCUACAGUGCUGCAAAGCUGUGACAUAUCAUCAUUUACUUCAGCUGGAGGGAUAUUCACUCUGCCCCAUUCUCUUAGUUUUGUUUAAAAACACUCUAUUGAGUACAUUUCUCUGCGAUUAGUCUAAGUUAGAUCAAAUUAAAGUCUUAAUACUUAACUUUACUUAGGUCAUCAAGGACUAACAUUAAGUUUAUUGCUUUGAUAUUGGCUUAUAGAUUUAUGGAUAAUGUUAGUUCUGAUCAAGUUGUGUUCUGCUGUAGCUCAAAUACUUAAAAUGAAAUAAUUGUAUGAAAUAAUUCAUAAAACCAUGGGUGCUCAAGCUAGAUUGUACUAAUAUUCAUGAAUAAAAAUAAACCAGUUGAAUGAACUCAAA